rnacentral:rRNA from 1 species
CCUACGGGUGGCAGCAGUGAGGAAUAUUGGUCAAUGGUCGUAAGACUGAACCAGCCAAGUCGCGUGAGGGAUGAAGGUUCUAUGGAUCGUAAACCUCUUUUAUAAGGGAAUAAAGUGUGGGACGUGUCCCGUUUUGUAUGUACCUUAUGAAUAAGGAUCGGCUAACUCCGUGCCAGCAGCCGCGGUAAUACGGAGGAUCCGAGCGUUAUCCGGAUUUUUUGGGUUUAAAGGGUGCGUAGGCGGCCUUUUAAGUCAGCGGUGAAAGCCUGUGGCUCAACCAUAGAACUGCCGUUGAAACUGGGAGGCUGGAGUGUGUUGGAGGCAGGCGGAAUGCGUGGUGUAGCGGUGAAAUGCAUAGAUAUCACGCAGAACCCCGAUUGCGAAGGCAGCCUGCCGAGCCAUGACUGACGCUGAUGCACGAAAGCGUGGGGAUCAAACAGGAUUAGAUACCCGGGUAGUC